AGAGCUAAAAGCAGAACUACCAUUCCACCCAACAAUCCCAUUACUGAGUGUAUAUUCAAAGUAAUAUAAAAUUAACCAGGCGUGGUGGUGCAUGCCUGUAAUCCCAGCUACCUAAGAGGCUGAGGCAUGAGAAUUGCUCAAACUCGGCAGGCAGAGGUUGCAGUGAGCCAAGAUCACACCAAUAUAGAUAGAGCAUCCAAGAUCAGCAAACAGAAUAAACACUUUCAAAGAUAUCUCGUCAAAUGCCAUCAUGAGAUUUGAAGCCUUGCCUAUGAGGAUCAGUCUUUACUACUUUAGUUUCUUCAUUAAACAGAGUUUUGGCGAUAGAGGCUACAUUAAAAAUGAAGCUCUUGCAACCAAUAAUAGGCAAUUAGCGGUUUUGGUUUUUGUUUGUUUGAUCUUUGCUAAGCUAUUUUUCAGUCAUCUGGAGUACAACUUAAAAUUUUAUGAAGGUGACAAAUAAGAUAAUAAAUCAUUUUGAAUGCCAUAAAUUGUAAUUGGAAAGUAAAGAUUAUUAGUCUAGAAAAAGAGAAGUGAAAUUUAUUUUCCUCU
rnacentral:lncRNA from 1 species